rnacentral:rRNA from 1 species
AGUCAUAUGCUUGUCUCAAAGAUUAAGCCAUGCAUGUCUCAGUACAAGCCUAAUUAAGGUGAAACCGCGAAAGGCUCAUUAAAUCAGUUAUGGUUCCUUAGAUCGUACCCACAUUUACUUGGAUAACUGUGGUAAUUCUAGAGCUAAUACAUGCAAACAGAGCUCCGACCGGAGACGGGAGGAGUGCUUUUAUUAGAUCAAAACCAAUCGGCGGCGGGCGCGUCCGCGCGUCCGUUCGCCGCUCAAACUGGUGACUCUGAAUAACUUUCCGCUGAUCGCACGGUCUCGCACCGGCGACGCAUCUUUCAAAUGUCUGCCUUAUCAACUGUCGAUGGUAGGUUCUGCGCCUACCAUGGUCGUAACGGGUAACGGGGAAUCAGGGUUCGAUUCCGGAGAGGGAGCCUGAGAAACGGCUACCACAUCCAAGGAAGGCAGCAGGCGCGCAAAUUACCCACUCCCGGCACGGGGAGGUAGUGACGAAAAAUAACGAUACGGGACUCAUCCGAGGCCCCGUAAUCGGAAUGAGUACACUUUAAAUCCUUUAACGAGGAUCAAUUGGAGGGCAAGUCUGGUGCCAGCAGCCGCGGUAACUCCAGCUCCAAUAGCGUAU